AUGUCAAAAAGAGGAGGAGGUAUCGGUUUUCAAGAUAUGCACCUUUUUAAUCAGGUGUUGCUGGCUAAACAAGCUUGGAGUUUGAUUCAAAAUCUUGAGAGUCUAUGUGCGAGAGUACUGAAAGCCAAGUACUACCCCAAUGGGAGCUUGCUUGAUACCGUCUUUGCGCCGGAUGCGUCCCAGGUGUGGAGGGCGAUUGAAUUUGGGAUAGAACUUCUAAAAAAGGUCUUCUCUGGAGAGUGGGUGAUGGCAAAAGUAUACCAAUUCAGCGAGAUCAAUGGAUUCGAAGGAAAGAGGGACUCAUGA
rnacentral:rRNA from 1 species